GAGCACUGAAUACAUAACACACACUUGGCUCAUAAGGGGAAGUGGCUGUGUCUCUUGGACCUCAAACUUCCCAGAACGCACCCAACACUCCAUUGCAGUGGCAUAUUGUAAGAGACAUUAGGUAGUGGUGUUAUCCAGGAAAAUUCCUCAUUCCUAAGCUUUAAAGCUAUUUAAAGGAGGAGGAGGAGGAGGAGGAGGGGGAGGAGAGUUUGGCACCUUUGGCCACAUGGUGUUGCAGUGGAGAGUUUUGCAUGUCGUUUCCCUGCCCAGUCUAAGAAAGGAAAGUGCUUUCAGCUGAGCAGAUCCCAGGUUGACUCAGCAUCUUUCAGUAGCUCAGCUCCCUUCUGUGUUUAUAUAUAUAUAUAUUUAAAAAGUUAAAAUAAAGGAGAGCUCCUGGGGGACAGCAAAUUAGCAGCCAAUCGUAUGACAUUGUUUGUCUUUCUUCUGACAGAUGAGCAAUCUUCUCCCCCCCCCCACCUCCGCCAACACACACACACACUUUCUUUUAAAGUAAGAGUUGGCUGCACUUUCUUUUUAAUGAGUUUCUGGAGUACAGCCCAAUUCUGAUCAAAGCCGCCAGCAAGAAAGAGAGAGGUGAUGGGGAGAUGGUGCUUUUCAAACGGAGGAAAAAUGGCACCUUUUAAUUAGUGAAGGGAAUGCCGAUAAUGCGGAUUGAUCCUUUUGCUGCACCGUUUUGUGUUUUGUUUUUUCCAGAGAGGACUCUGCUUUGCAAAAUAUGCCCUGAAACUCGUGGAGUUUGGCUGCUGCCCUCAGAGGAGGAUGGAUGAUGCAAAGGGAUUGUUUGUGAACAGAAGCGUCUUUCUUCCUGACAUCUAAAGCAGUCGCUGGGGGGGGG